UACGAAGGGGCUAGCGUUGCUCGGAAUCACUGGGCGUAAAGGGUGCGUAGGCGGGUCUUUAAGUCAGGGGUGAAAUCCUGGAGCUCAACUCCAGAACUGCCUUUGAUACUGAGGAUCUUGAGUUCGGGAGAGGUGAGUGGAACUGCGAGUGUAGAGGUGAAAUUCGUAGAUAUUCGCAAGAACACCAGUGGCGAAGGCGGCUCACUGGCCCGAUACUGACGCUGAGGCACGAAAGCGUGGGAGCAACAGG
rnacentral:rRNA from 1 species